GUUUAUGUUCGUUGCUUGUGUGGACUGAGAGUGAGGCAGACAUGCUAAGUGUAUUCUGAAGCCAUCCACUUAGAAAUAUUGUACAGGCAACGCCUAGCCGCUGGCCUGGAGUGCUGCAUAUCUGACCUGCGGAGUUCCACACUACAUCUGCUGUCGUGGCCUCAUCAACCAGCCCAGUCUUCAUGGCCUGAAGUGCUGUAUAUCAGACCUGUGGAGUUCCAUUAACUACAUAUGCCGCAGUCUUCAUGACCUCCUCCAGUUGUCCACUCCUACCCAGAUGAACAAUUCACCAACCUGCCCAUGAAUCCUCUUAUACUCUGAAACUGUCACAUGAGAUCAAUCAUCAGCACAUGUUGUAUUAUUAGAUUCUAUGUGUUUCCUUCAGCUCGAUAUAUGUAUGUAUGACUGAAGUUUGAAGGUUUCUUCCCGUUCUUGGCGAUAUAUAAAUAAAAAAUUGAAUUGAAUUGAAUAGCAGUGGCAUACUGGGUAAAUUUACAGGGACAUCAGAUAGAUCAUCCAGCAAGAAGGGCUCUAUAACCGGUAUGGUAAAGAUGGGGUUAAAUAAAAAAUGGUUUUGUCCCUCA